rnacentral:rRNA from 1 species
AGAGUUUGAUCAUGGCUCAGAUUGAACGCUGGCGGCAGGCCUAACACAUGCAAGUCGAGCGGUAGCACAGAGAGCUUGCUCUCGGGUGACGAGCGGCGGACGGGUGAGUAAUGUCUGGGAAACUGCCUGAUGGAGGGGGAUAACUACUGGAAACGGUAGCUAAUACCGCAUAAUGUCGCAAGACCAAAGUGGGGGACCUUCGGGCCUCAUGCCAUCAGAUGUGCCCAGAUGGGAUUAGCUAGUAGGUGGGGUAACGGCUCACCUAGGCGACGAUCCCUAGCUGGUCUGAGAGGAUGACCAGCCACACUGGAACUGAGACACGGUCCAGACUCCUACGGGAGGCAGCAGUGGGGAAUAUUGCACAAUGGGCGCAAGCCUGAUGCAGCCAUGCCGCGUGUGUGAAGAAGGCCUUCGGGUUGUAAAGCACUUUCAGCGGGGAGGAAGGCGGUGAGGUUAAUAACCUCAUCGAUUGACGUUACCCGCAGAAGAAGCACCGGCUAACUCCGUGCCAGCAGCCGCGGUAAUACGGAGGGUGCAAGCGUUAAUCGGAAUUACUGGGCGUAAAGCGCACGCAGGCGGUCUGUCAAGUCGGAUGUGAAAUCCCCGGGCUCAACCUGGGAACUGCAUUCGAAACUGGCAGGCUAGAGUCUUGUAGAGGGGGGUAGAAUUCCAGGUGUAGCGGUGAAAUGCGUAGAGAUCUGGAGGAAUACCGGUGGCGAAGGCGGCCCCCUGGACAAAGACUGACGCUCAGGUGCGAAAGCGUGGGGAGCAAACAGGAUUAGAUACCCUGGUAGUCCACGCCGUAAACGAUGUCGAUUUGGAGGUUGUGCCCUUGAGGCGUGGCUUCCGGAGCUAACGCGUUAAAUCGACCGCCUGGGGAGUACGGCCGCAAGGUUAAAACUCAAAUGAAUUGACGGGGGCCCGCACAAGCGGUGGAGCAUGUGGUUUAAUUCGAUGCAACGCGAAGAACCUUACCUGGUCUUGACAUCCACAGAACUUUCCCAGAGAUGGAUUGGUGCCUUCGGGAACUGUGAGACAGGUGCUGCAUGGCUGUCGUCAGCUCGUGUUGUGAAAUGUUGGGUUAAGUCCCGCAACGAGCGCAACCCUUAUCCUUUGUUGCCAGCGGUUAGGCCGGGAACUCAAAGGAGACUGCCAGUGAUAAACUGGAGGAAGGUGGGGAUGACGUCAAGUCAUCAUGGCCCUUACGACCAGGGCUACACACGUGCUACAAUGGCAUAUACAAAGAGAAGCGACCUCGCGAGAGCAAGCGGACCUCAUAAAGUAUGUCGUAGUCCGGAUUGGAGUCUGCAACUCGACUCCAUGAAGUCGGAAUCGCUAGUAAUCGUAGAUCAGAAUGCUACGGUGAAUACGUUCCCGGGCCUUGUACACACCGCCCGUCACACCAUGGGAGUGGGUUGCAAAAGAAGUAGGUAGCUUAACCUUCGGGAGGGCGCUUACCACUUUGUGAUUCAUGACUGGGGUGAAGUCGUAAACAAGGUAACCGUAGGGGAACCUGCGGUUGGAUCACCU